UUGAUUAGAUAAUUGCAUUAAUGAGAAAUUGAACAGGUGUUCCUAAUAAUCCUUUAGGUGAGUGUAUAUAUGUGCUUUCAUUCCACGUAAACCUACUUGCUGAUGCUCAUUGUGUGCAAAAUAUGGUGCACGUGUCUUCUCCAAUUAUGAAACCUAAUAACCACAAACUAUUUUAAUGCAGGCUAAUGAAAAAUAUGCAAAUCACAUAGAAAAAACACAUUGGUUUCUGAUGAGCAUGACCGUUGAAUGAACAGAUAAGGCACCAGGAAUAACCAAGCCUGGCUGUUAGCCUGGUCUGGAGCAGGCUAGCUGCACAGAAUAAAUCACCAUGUUAACUUAUGUGCUACUGCUUUCGCGAAACCGAGUCAAGCCUUAAUUCAGCCAAGAUAUCUGGAAAAACCCGGCUUAAUCCGCUAUCUUGGUUUUGUGAAACAGUCCUCUGUCUGCUCCCCCUGUGAUCACUCUGCCUGCCUGUAUGUCUGUAUCUGAUUGCCUCCACCUGGUCUUGAUCCCGCCCUGCUCGUUACCUAGUGUUUAAAUGUUUGCUUGUUCUCUCUUUGUUAUGUCCUUGUCGAAUGUUGAGUUUUCAGCUGUGCCCUGUUCUCCAUGUUUUUGGAUUUCCCCAGUGGAUUGUGUUUCUGUUUGGAGAUACCUUUGUUGGGACAUUUGCUGCAGUGUUCCCAGUGCUGCAAUUCACGAGGAUGACCUGCACAAGACGGCAUUUUAAACAACCUUUGGGCUGUACGAGUACUCUCAGUUGCCUUUCAGGGUAUGUAACGGGCCAGCCACUUUUCAGAGACUGAUGCAUGUGAGGAAGAGUGACUUGGUGUUGCAAAUCAUGCCGCUGUACUUGGAUGACAUUUUGGUGCACUCACAGUCUUUUGAAGAUCAUCUAGCAAGUCUUCAGAUGUUUCUCCAGAGACUGAAGGAGACAGGUUUUAAAGUCAAAGAGAAGACGUGUCACUUUUACCGGCCUAAAGUAGGUUUCCUUGGUCACCGGAUAUCUGACGAGGGCAUUGGUGGCUCGGUUGCAGUCCUAUAUCAACAGCAGGGCAAGAACAAAAGAGUGAUUUGCCAGUAGGAGGGUGCACAAUACGGAGAAAAAUGACAGCAACUACAACUUGAACUACUGAUUCUGAAGUGUGCAGUUUCAGAUAAAAUCAGGGAUUACCUACUAGACAGAACAGGAACAGAUAUGGGCCCAGAGCUAGGAACUGUGGGUUCCACUGACGGGAGUGACUGGCAGGUUAAUACCUCCACUCAGCCUGGCUACUCUAAAAUAGAGCUGCUCAUAGAUCCCACCCAAGUACAUUUAGACAGUUCUGGGAUAGGAAAACCCACCUGUAGGGAGAGAACAGGGUUAGCCAAGUCUGCAGUGUACUUAUGUAGGCAGUGGUAUCUUAAUUAGCUUAGUAAAAAUGUUUCUUUUGUCUGUUAAAUUAGGUCUGUAGACUUAAUUAACAGACAACCACAUAAAGAACAGCUGCAAAGUAAUGUUUGCUACAAAGUGAAUGUAAAAAGCUUGCAUGCAAGUUGUUUGCAAAGUAACAUCUCACCUAAAUCAAUGCUACAGUGAGUAGGCCUACUUAAGAAACGAAAUACCAUAGUAACUCCAGUCAACCCAGUUUUCAGAUGACAGAGGUGACAGCUUCUUCUGCGCCAUGUGACCUGCCAAAGAACAGCCUCUCGCAUGCCACUGUUGAGGCAGGUGUUGCCAAGUACCUUGUUCAUUAUCUGCCAGCUUACCAUGGGCACCUUUGUGGACAGACUACCACUGUACGGGAUAUGUCGCUAUGCUGACACUGGGCUUUGCCCCGUACCUGUCUAGAGUUUUGUCUGUGGACAGUGUCUCAUCAUCAAAGCCCUCUGACUUUGACCUAUUAGUAAGACAGCCAUCUUCUUCUUUUGUGCUUCUGGUUCCAUUUCUUUUUGAUGCAGACAGACAGACAACC